CAGGUUAGAGCCGGCUGGGUAGGCACCUCAUUUGGGUUGAGGAUUAGUUAUGUUCGAUUCAUAAUAACUUGA
rnacentral:tRNA from 11 species